rnacentral:rRNA from 1 species
UGGGGAAUAUUGCACAAUGGGCGAAAGCCUGAUGCAGCGACGCCGCGUGAGGGAUGACGGCCUUCGGGUUGUAAACCUCCUUCAGUAGGGACGAAGCGCAAGUGACGGUACCUGCAGAAGAAGCACCGGCUAACUACGUGCCAGCAGCCGCGGUAAUACGUAGGGUGCAAGCGUUGGCCGGAAUUACUGGGCGUAAAGAGUUCGUAGGCGGUUUGUCGCGUCGUUUGUGAAAACCAGCAGCUCAACUGCUGGCUUGCGGGCGAUACGGGCAGACUUGGGUACUGCGGGGGAGAAUGGAAUUCCUGGGGUGGCGGUGAAAUGCGCGGAUAUCAGGAGGAACACCGGGGGCGAGGGCGGGUCUCUGGGCGGUAACUGCCGCUGAGGAACGAAGGCGUGGGUAGCGAACAGG